rnacentral:rRNA from 1 species
AACGAACGCUGGCGGCAUGCCUAACACAUGCAAGUCGAACGAGACCUUCGGGUCUAGUGGCGCACGGGUGCGUAACGCGUGGGAAUCUGCCCUUGGGUUCGGAAUAACUCAGAGAAAUUUGAGCUAAUACCGGAUGAUGACGAAAGUCCAAAGAUUUAUCGCCCAAGGAUGAGCCCGCGUAAGAUUAGCUUGUUGGUGGGGUAAUGGCCCACCAAGGCGACGAUCUUUAGCUGGUCUGAGAGGAUGAUCAGCCACACUGGGACUGAGACACGGCCCAGACUCCUGCGGGAGGCAGCAGUGGGGAAUAUUGGACAAUGGGCGAAAGCCUGAUCCAGCAAUGCCGCGUGAGUGAUGAAGGCCUUAGGGUUGUAAAGCUCUUUUACCAGGGAUGAUAAUGACAGUACCUGGAGAAUAAGCUCCGGCUAACUCCGUGCCAGCAGCCGCGGUAACAC